rnacentral:rRNA from 1 species
UACGGAAGGUCCAAGCGUUAAUCGGAAUUACUGGGCGUAAAGCGUAUGUAGGCGGCUAAGUAAGUCAGGCGUGCAAGCCCGUGGCUCAACCACGGAAUUGCGUUUGAAACUGUUUGGCUUGAGUGCAGGAGAGGAAAGCGGAAUUCCCAGUGUAGCGGUGAAAUGCAUUGAUAUUGGGAAGAACAUCUGUGGCGAAGGCGGCUUUCUGGUCUGUUACUGACGCUGAGAUACGAAAGCCAGGGUAGCGAACGGG